CAACGUUAGUCGAUUGUGUACUAGCUGCAGACCUUGUUUAUUGCACCGAGUGAAACUGCAACAAUCGCUGCAAAAUGAGUGAAGGUGGACCGGCACCUGCAAAGAAGCUGAGGUCAGACGUGAUUUUACUGAGCUCGGAGGGGGACGAUAGUAAAGAUUUUGACGUAGAGACACAGAGGGUACUGGAGGAUAUCGACGCUUGUCAAAAUGAAAUCGACGCGCUGAAUGAACAGGCUAGCGAAGAAAUCCUGAAAGUGGAACAGAAGUACAAUCGCAUGAGAAGACCGCACUUUGACAGAAGAAAUGACCUGAUCAGGAAAAUUCCCAACUUUUGGGUGACUGCUUUUGUGAACCAUCCACAGAUUUCAGCGAUUCUAACAGAGGAAGACGAAGAGUGCCUUCACUAUCUCACUAAACUAGAGGUUGAAGAGUUCGAAGACAUCAAGUCAGGCUACAGGAUAAAAUUUAAUUUUGACAAAAACCCCUUUUUUGAGAAUGAUGUCUUACAGAAGGAGUUUCAUUUGGCGAGUUCAGGGGAACCAGCGAGUCAAUCAUCAACGUUUGUAUGGAAGAGCGGGAUGGAUCUGACGGCCAAGAGUUCAAUUGAUGUCAAAGGAAGGAAGAGGAUCCGGGAGAACCGAAGUUUCUUCUCCUGGUUCAAUGACCAUACAGAGCCAUCAGCAGAUGAUAUUGCUGAGGUUAUCAAAGAUGAUAUGUGGCCCAAUCCUCUCCAGUAUUAUCUUGUACCAGAUGUUGAAGUGGAAAAUGGUUUAGAAGAUGAUGACGAGAUGAAGAAGAUGAUGAUGAAGAUGAUGAUAGUGAUGAUGAAGAAGGAUUGGAUGAAUCAGUGGUAGUUCUUGAUGAAGAAGAUGAUGAUGACGAAGAUGACGAUGGUAGUGAGGAUGUUCAAGAGGUUAUGGAAGGAGAGGAAGGUGAAGAUGAUGCAGAAAUUAUUGAGGGUAGUGCACUUGGAGAAGAUGAGGAGGAGGAGGAGGAAGAGGAUGAUGACCUUGAGGAAGGUGCGGAGGAUGUCGAAGGUCAAGAUGUGGAGGAAGGGGAUGAGGAAGAGGUCAAAGGCGAGGGGGAAUGAGGAUUUUUUUUAACACCAAUGAAUUUAAAAAAAAAACAUUAGUUUUGUUAAUGUUGAAAGAUUUUGUCUAUUAUUUAGUAUUUUAUAAACUAUUAAAAAGAAUACAUUUUAUUUCAAAAACUGUCAGAAUCAAUCUACCUGUCCAUCCUGUGCCAUUGUACAUUGUUUAUACAUUUAAUUCAAAAUGUUUCCUAUUUAAAACUAUGGGUUGCCUAGCAACCAAGUCAUGCUUCAACUCGAUAAUUCAAUAUAAUAUUUGUUUUGUUUUGAUCAUUUUAAGGUUUGAAUUAUUACCUAGCAACAGAGGUAGAAAUCCACAAUAUCUUCUUCUUCUUCUCAACAUUAUCUGAUAUGAUUCCCGUGCGAAGUAUACAAAGCAUGUAAAUUUAGUUUACGUGAAAUUAAACUAUGUGGUGACUGUGUGUUAUUAUUAAUGCAAUAAGGAGAGUAUGACGAAUUUCUCUGGAUAUUCAUGAUGUGGUUGCCCUGAGCUGGCUUUUCGUAAUUAUGAAUGAAAUUUAGCUUGGAGCUUUAGAUUAGUCUGAAGUGUAACUGCUUUGCAUGGGAGAACAAAAUUUGUAUUCAGGGUUAUUCCUUAUCUCUUCUGCAUCUUAAAUAAUUCACCCUCCCCCUUAACUUUGCGCACUCAUGGAUUGUUCCUAGCUAGAAUUUAUUCAAAUUCAUCAAAAGCUAGAAGUUGUGUAAGAUUCUGUUUUACCAUGCUCGUCCGACUUAACGCCCAGUGUAUUCAGCUUCAAAAAUUGUGUUUUUACCAGGAGUGGGCAAUUAGUCAAGCAUCCUGAUUAGUUGUACAUACAAGUAAUGAUUUCAGUUCAAGAUGUGCCAUAUCUAGAAGAAUUUAACGUUUCCUUGGAGAAAAUAAAAUUACGAAAUGAGUUGUCAUGUUUUAAAAAUAAAAAAUGGUCACAAUGGUCUCUGAGGAAACGGUCAAAAUGAAGGUCGUCAUCACUAUCAUCAUUGUUGAAUGUUUUCGAUUGUAUGCAAACUCUAGUUGCAAAACAAUUCCCACCAUGAUUUUUUCUGCUUGAUUUGAACUGUACAUGUGUGUUAUUACCCAGAAUGCUGUGUUGUACUGUUACAAUUCUCUGGGGAAUUCCUGGAAGCAUUCUUGUAAUGCAGUGCUGAAUUGAAUUGUCAAAGUAUGAUCUGUUGUAGUUUCUUCAAAAAAUUGCAUGAUUUUUUUUUUUUAAAGUUUGUGAUUAGCAAUUUUUGACAUUAUUUACUGCCUUUAACAGGUCUUUGGCAAAGCGUAGUUUAUUCGUUCACUUCAUAUUCACAGUCGUCAAUAUCCACGCUGUAUUGAUUACUGAUAUUGAAAGAGCCAUACAAUGUACGAAAAACAGAUUUUAUGACUAGACUGUCAAAUUUUUGAAGGAAUGUGUGCUUCUUCGAACGUGACCUCAAACAAUUUUUAGAAAUGCCCCGAAAGUGUGGGUUUAGACGCUUAGUAGUAGUUCAUGGGCCAUGUGUCGGUCGAGUAUGUUAACAUUAUCUAAAUGAAGGAGCAUAUGUAACAAUAAUGGCAAGAAAACUACAUGCGCCUUUUCUUCAAUAUUGAUUUUUGAUUGCUCAUGAUCAGUGUUUUGUCACUAAUAUUGUUCUGUAAAAGCGUAAAACACAUUCCUUAUGGCAAUGAUGGCCAGUUUUUGCACUGUAAAGUUUAUACUCCCGGUAUUCGCGACAGAAAUAUUCAUGUACAUACGUUCCACAUGCCCACUUUAUCAUAGAAAAAAAUGACAAGCCUUAUUGAUCGUAAAUUCUAUGUUUGAACUCGGGCGGGGAUUAUGUUGAAGGUAAAUUUUUUUUGUUAGUUUUUUCUGAAAGAAAGUAAUUUGUGUUUUAUUCAUUACAUUUCAUAAUUUGAAAUAUUUGUUUCAUUGUGAUGUCCAACCAUCAAGUUGAUGAGUAUCUAGUGGACUUUUAACAAAUUGAAAUUUAAAAACGGCAAAAUGUUAAUUCUGACAGCAAGUUCAACCCACAAUUUAAUAACAAUUUAAAUAGCUAUUGUGUAAAUAUGAAAUUUGAUAGAUCAGAUGUCAUUUCUAGGAAAUAUUUGCAGCAUUUAACUGUUGUAUUGUUUUUUUCUUUUUUACAAUUAAAGUAAUAAAGAAUUUUUUUUUAUGUGAAUGGGUACUAUAGCAGUCAAUUCUAAAUUAUCUGAUUUUUAUGUAGGGCAGUGAAAGCAAUUGCUUCAGUCUUUGUAAUAUGUACUUGUCAAUUCAUUUCUUAGUACUGUAUAUUUUUUUUCCCAUGGCUUGUUUCUGUAACUUUUUCAAAAAUUAAAGUACAAAAGUCCCCCUCCCCUCCCCAAUUCAAAAAUAAUUUUCUAUUAAAAAAGACCAAAGAUCAUUUGUACUUACUUGAAUUUUAGUCUAUUUUGUUCAUAUUUAGUCUAGUUUGUGUCAUGUCUAAUAAGGGUUACUGCAGCUUAUUGUACCCCCGAAUACAAUGGUUUUAUUUUUGAACUAAAUAUACAUGAAACAUAAUCCGUUACACUCUUAUCCUAAGUAUCGAAUUUGUCUUUUUAAUGUAUUAUGCGCAUUAAAAUGCUUAUUUAUGUAGAUUUUAUUUCUAAUAUUUCACCACUUUAUUAAAAUACAUAUAAAAUA